rnacentral:lncRNA from 1 species
AAGAUAUGGGUUCCUCUGGAUUGAAAGAAACAAGAGAGCUUUGAAGAUGGUUAUAUCAUUGAGGUGAGCUUUUCUCUCUUCUUCUUUUGGAGCCUUGUUUCUUCUCAGUUUGAGAAAUAAAAAACUGGGUUUUGGAGGAUUAUCAGAAAACUCUUCUUGGUAAUCUAUGAAUGAGCUUUAUGAAAACAAAAAAAAACUAUUGGGGAUAUCUAAGAAAAAAAGUGACAUUUCAAAGUUUGUGUUUGUCUUCACCGGUUGAUUUUCUAGUGUCAACUUCAUAUGGACAUUGUUAUGGGCUACAUAACUCAUCACAUUUGGGAACUUAAAUGACUGCUAAAAGCAAUUGACUUGUUCUUUUCCUUUUUUUGGGAAUAAAAUAAUAAUUGAUCCUUCUUGACUCGACCUGUAGGUAAGCUUUGGAUGACAGGAAGCUUCAUAAUUAUAAAAUUGUGUAAUCAAUUAUUUCUUUUCUUCUGAAAAAGGAAAUAAAAAUAAAUGUAUAGAAGAUUUUUAUCUAUGUAAUAAUAAUCUUUUACGUCGGAAGUUACGUUAUGUGAUUUGGAAGAAUGUUCCCCAUAAAUAUUAUUUAUCUUACUGCAUAAUUUUCCAGGUUGUCUCCACUCUGUGUACAUUUGCUUUGACUAAUUAUAUAUUUUGCAAAUGUGAACACAUUUUUAUCUUUAUUAACAUUUGAACCCUAUUUUCCUCUAAAAUCACUGCAAUU